GCGCCCGCGGCCUAGUGGAUAGCGCGCCCGUUUUGUAAAUCUUAGACGCGGGUUCGACCCCCACUGGGGUCA